GUGCUCGCUUUGGCAGCACAUACACUAAAAUUGGAACAAUACAGAGAAGAUUAACAUGGCCUCUGUGCAAGGAUGACAUGCAAAUUCGUGAAGCGUUCCAUAUUUUU
ensembl:snRNA U6 U6 spliceosomal RNA